AACUUGCCCAUGAUUUGAGGCAGUCAAUAAAAGCUACUCAUUCUGGCGAACUAAUUGAUGAGAGACAAUUCUAUCAGGAGUCAACAAAUGCUCAUCUGACUGGGCAGACCACAGCCCAGUUUAAUCUUGAAACGACCUGUUCAGAUCUACCUGACCAUGUUCAAAGAAAGUUAGAAGAACGCUUAAACAAAGGCAAUGAGUUAUUAGAGAAUGACUGGAGAAGCCUGUACAAAGCAGUGAAUUUGCCACAAGGUAAAGAAAACAUCAUUGCUGAGAAAUUCUCUGGUAACCCCACACGAUAUGUGUUGGACACUUGGUUUGAUAGAGACGGACAACAUGCCAAUGUAAGAGCACUGCUCCUAGCAUUGAAA